GAUGAACGCUGGCGGCGUGCCUAAUACAUGCAAGUCGAACGGACAGACGCGGAGCUUGCUCUGCUGACGCUUGGGGCGGACGAGGGAGUAACACGUGAAUCACGUACCUCAAAUACUGGUAAACCUACGGGAAAGAGGAGCCUAUACCGGACAAUAUCUUGCAGCGUAGGGUGCAUUAGGGAAUGUCGGUUUUUGUGUCUCUUAUAGAUGAAUACGCGCGGCAUUAGAUAGUUGGGAAGGUAACGGCGUAUCAAGGAAACGAUGCGUAGACGACCUACGAGGGUGGUCGGCCACACUGGAACGGAGACACGGACCAGACGACUAAGGGAGGCAGCAGUAGGGAAUCUUCCGCAAGAGUCGAAAGCUUGACGGAACAACGCCGCGUGAGAGACAGCGGUGUUGGGAUCGUAAACCUCUGUUAUUAGGGAAGAACAGAUGUGUAAGUAACUGUGCCCGUCUUGACGGUAACUAAUCAGAAAGCCACGGCUAACUACGUG
rnacentral:rRNA from 1 species